rnacentral:tRNA from 1 species
GGGUUCAUUGCUCAGUUGGUAAAGCACAAGGCUCUUAACCUUGUGGACAUGAAUUCA